UCCCAACUCCCAAGCUCCCAAGGAACUAGGAAGGAGCUGACAGAGUGACAGCUGAAAUGUGAAAUGUGGAAAAUCGAAAGAAUUCGAAAAGUGAAAUCAAUAUUCAGCAUGAUGUUUGACCAUGUUUGACACUGAAAAACUAACUUGACUUGGUAGUUGGUAGUAUGUUAACUAAAUGUUUUCAUGCAUAUUUACCAGUUCAUUUGUCAUCAUUUCUUCAUUUGCCACGUAAUGACGACCAUUGUUGAAGGUGGCCAGGAAUUCUAAGCUGUCAUCAAUCCUGCAGCUAUGCAUGUUUUGUAAAUUCUGAAUCCAAGAACUUAGAGCCAUCAUUUAACUUGAUUGACUUUCUUUCCCGAUUUUAAUAAUGGUUUAUUUUUUAUUUUUCUAGAUGAUCAAUUGCAAGUACUUACCUGAGCAGCUGAGCUCUCUUCCUUUCUGUGGUUCCUUUCAAUUGAUUCAUUUGAGUUAAAUCCCUUGCUGCUGUUCCAGACCUUAUCCACUAGUGGGAUAUGCAGAGAGAUGUUGAACUAAUUCCAGGUUAACCCUUUGCCAUUGUUCUACAAUUUGAAGAAGUUGAUGGUUAAAGAAGAGCUUGCUUUCAAUCAACAACAAUAAAUUGUGUAGAUGUAGAUAUAUAGGAAUAUAUGUAGAAAAAGAAAA